CUGACCAGCAGAGGUCCCUAAUGGUCAUUGUGUUAAAAACUCUUGAGUAAUGAACUAUUUUUCAGCACAAUUUGGUGAAAGCCCAAAAGGCUUCAGAAAUCCUUGGUUUACACAUCAUUAGGCGUUAGCUUUCUGGUUCUGUUGCUCGUUGAUACUUGUAUCGGUUGGCUCUGGUCUUGAGAGCGGCACGCAGCCUGGGAGACCGUGCCGCCAGUCAAGCGCUGUUUAGGGCUUGAACGCCCCACGAACAUUGCUUACAGGAAGAGGGUGCAGUGGAUGAGCAGCUGGACGCUGGUUAACGUUAGACCUAAAAACAGGGAGGGCAAUAUUGAUACAUUCUAAAUUAUGGAGUUAAGACGGACAAACCCAGCGUGCAAUUGUGUUUUACUAUGUGGAAUAACCUUAUGUCUUAUUUUCGGUAUAAAUCUAACAUUCGCUAUAGAGUUGUACGCCCCGGCGGAAGUGCUGGUUGAGAAUGGCACCACGGGGAUCCUCAAGUGUACCUUCAAGUCCAGGGAAGUGAUCAGCAGUGCAGCCACAGUCAUCUGGUCGUUUUCCCCAGCGGGAUCUGAUGCCGGAAGCGCUGUUUCCAUUUUCUAUUACACUUCUGCAAACCACUACCCAGGGAGUGUGGCUCAAUUCAAAGACAGGGUGAAAUGGGCGGGAGACCUGAACAAAAAAGAUGCCUCAGUCCAUUUAAUUGAGGCGCAGUUCAACGACAAUGGCACCUACUCAUGUGCCGUGAUUAACCCGCCUGACAUAUCUGGCACCGCCGCUCAGACACAGCUCAAGGUCGUCAUCAAAGAGUCUCUCCCUCAAGACAACACGGCCGUCGUAGUGGCCGCCGUGUGUGGCGCCGUCAUCGGGCUUAUCCUCAUCUCUGUGGUUACCUGCCUGAUCAUCAAGAGGCAUCAAACCACCCAUGAAUACGAAGGUCUUCUCCUGUGUGUGUCUGUGUCUGUAUGUGUCCAUGUCGCCUAUUUCUCUGUGCGCCAACGCUUCCCGAACUGCACAAAACAAACCUCUGGUUUGCAAACCCCUCACCCGGCGCAAAAACUAGCUGCACGUCAGUGGAGAGUGUGAGCUCCCACGCCACACGCCCGGGGGGGAAGAAACCAGAGUCCAGCUUGGAGGGCUCCAGGUGUAGCAGCCACUCCACCCCGGUCCAGGUAGGAGCUACAGGACCGGUGAUAUACGCCCAGUUGGAUCACACAGGCACCAAGAACCCCAACUCAUUCCACAAGAUGGAGCCAGUGGUCUACGCUGACAUAAGGAAAAACUGAAGAGAACUGGAGACGAAAAUGGACAGGCCACCAUAGCUCGCUGCUUUGGGAUGGGUGGGUGGGGGUUGUUUAAAUACAAGGUUAGAAUUUAUGCUGUUUUGAAAGAUUUAUUUUUUGUAAUUAAUUUGUCCUUUUGUCUGCUGAAAGCAUUCAUUGCAUGUUCAUGUGUGUGGUAAAACAGUUACACUACCAAGGAUUUCAAUACAAUAAUACAACACAGAGAUUAGAGAAACACUGCCUUCAGAAAGUAUUCAUACCCCUUGAUGUCCUCCACAUUUUAUUCUGUUACAGCCUGAAUUCUAAAUGGAUAUGUUUUUUUUUUGUUUUACCCAGCUACCCACAAUACCACAUGACAGUGAAAAGUGAAUUUUUGUUAGCAAAUUUAUUGAAAAUGAAAUACAGAAAUAGUACAUUCACAUAAGUAUUCACACCCCUCUGUCAAUACAUGUUAGAAUCACCUUUGGCAGUUAUCACAGCUGUGAGUCGUUCUGGGUAAGCCUCUAAGAGCUUUACACACCUGAAUUGUACAGUAUCUGCACAUGUAUUAUUUAAAAAUUCUUCAAUUUCUGUCAAGUUGGUUGUUGAUCUUUGCUAGACAGCCAUUUCUAAGUUUUAUCAUAGAUUUCCAAGCCCAUUUAAGUCCAAACUGCAACUAGGCCAAUCAGGAAUAUUCAAUGUCGUCUUGGUAAGCAACUCCAGUGUAUAUUUGGCCUUGUGUUUUAGGUUAUUGUCCUACUGAAAAGCGAAUUUGACUCCUAGUGUCUGUUGGAAAGCAGACUGAACCAGUGUAUUGUGUAUCUUUUUAAAUUUUUUAUUAAAUGCUCUGUCUUGAUGCUGAGCCCUCCACUGUCAAGUCUUAAAAAUCCGUCUUUAGUGUUUUUAACUAUGUUUUUGCUGUUGACAAAAUGGUUUUGAUCACCGUAAGAAUGCUAGAGGAAGCGUCAUUUCUUUAUUCCAAAACUGCCUUAUCCACUAGUCCUGCAAAAUAUAGCAAAAGUAAUUGACAAUUUACAUUCCAAAAAAAUACAUCAAAUACUGUAGCUUAUCUUGUGCUUUUGCAGCAUUAGUGCGUGUGUGUGGUAAUAGUUAAGGUAGUAUUGUCCUUGAUUAUGCAUUAUGAAAAAGCGUUUUGUUUACAGUACGCUCAGAUUCUCAAAAAAUGACGGUGUCAAAGUUUGGAUAAGUACAGUUUACAAAACCCAUUCCACUGUUACGUGUCUUAAGUGUGAAGUCGUACUUUUAGCUGUUAAGUAGCAAUGUAGUGUGUGUCAUUUGGUGCUUGUUUAUAUAAUAUUGUAUGUUGCAAAACCUGCACUAUAUCCCGCAUAUCAAAGACCACAAGCACUAUAUGAUUUUAUUUUUCUUCUUCUGUUCGAUGUCUUAACUGGAAUGUAGUACAUUUAGUGCCUUUUGUAUUUCAUCUACCAUCUUGAACACCUGCUCUCGCUCUUUAAUUUUUUUCUAAUUUAUUUACUUCCUUCAUUGUAUGUUUUUUUUAUACAUAUAGAAAAACAUAAUCCUCUGUAUCUGAUGUUCAAAUGUUAUAUAAAAGCCAUUUCCUGA